GUCUUUUUGAUUAUAAUUUAAAGUCUAACCUGCCCAAUGAAUUAGUUUAGUUUUAAUGGCUGCGGUAUUUUGACCGUGCAAAGGUAGCAUAAUAAUUAGUUUCUUAAUUAGGAACUGGUAUGAAUGGUUGGACGAAAAGAAAACUGUCUCAGUUUAAUUUUAAUUAGAAUUUUAUUUUUAAGUUAAAAAGCUUAAAUAAUUUUAAAAGACGAGAAGACCCUAUAGAGUUUUAUAAUUAUUAAUAUAUUUAAAAAUUAAAGUAUUAUUUUAAUUUAUUUAUAUUAUUAAGUAUUUAAUUGGGGUGAUUAAAAAAUUAAGUGAACUUUUUUUAAUUUUUACCAUUAAUAAAUGAUUUAUUGAUCCAUAAAUAAUGAUUAAAAGAUUAAAUUACCUUAGGGAUAACAGCGUUAUUUUUUUUAGAGUUCUUAUCGAAAAAAAAGUUUGCGA
rnacentral:rRNA from 1 species